CGCGUCGCUCGGGCAGCCGGGGCCGCGGGGAGGCGGAGCGGAGGAGGAGGAGGAGCAGGAAGUCCACAAACAGAGAAAUGAAAGAAAGAAUUGCAACAAUAUAUGGUGAUGAGGAGAAGAUAACAACUAAAGGAAUUACCAAAGGAAUUACCAGAGGACUGCUCGGAAGAGAUGAGUUCCACCUGACCAAGAAGGGGAAGAGCAUCUUCAUUCAUUGACUCAUUAACCUGGUGAGGAGGACUUUAAACUAGGUUCAAAAGAAGCAGCUGAAAGCCCACAGACUUCAGCUUCCACUGACUUCUGAGACCAUCCUGUCCUCCCUGGAGCAUCUUGUUGCUUGUUGCUACUACCUCUUUCAGGGCAUGGUAUUCACUUGGUGAAUUUCUGUUGGUGGAAGACUGAAGAGGCUACUUCAAGUGGUGAACAAUCCAUUGGAAUAUAGCAGCCACCUGAGCAACUGUACUGUGAAAUACACAAGCUGGGCUGAGAAGCCUACAGAACUGAUCCUGGUAAUCCUUACUCAGAAUAAAGACACAUGGGGAAGAGUUGAAGCACGUUCACUCUAAAAGGAGAACAGAAUAUGCUGGGAGCACAGAAGAAUUCCUCUGUAAUAAGAAUACUCCAAAUUUCUGUGAAGUUUCAAAGGAAUGCAGAAAGAGGAGAAAGAAGUGCUAUUACCGUCAAUGUAUUUAAUUGAAUUUAUAGAAUAAUAAUUGCAAUGCUCAAAAUUUCCAGCGCUCUUGUGGCAUUCAAAUAAUUUAAGAAUUUGCACAGUAUCAAACUUAUUUCAAAAUAUCAUAUACCAGACUGACAUUCAUAUUUCACUAAAUGCCUGUUAACAAACUCCUUCAUAAGCCAUAUGUCUCUCAGCCUACCGCUUACUAAAAUGCCCAGGGAAAAAAUACUGGCUUUGCUGCUUAAUCCUAGAAAAUAUGAAAGAAGGGUAAAAGGCUUGAUGUCUGAAACUGCUAUGGGCAGAAUUCCAGGGUGCUCAUGAUGCAGUGUCUUAACAGCAAUUGAAAUAUCAGGCAAUUAACACUGAAAGCCUUUUUAAUUACGGUGAGUCAUGAAAAAAGGAAAUAUCAGGUAGAUAUAUCUACACAAUCACGAUAUUUACCCUUUGGUUGGAGCUGUGAUUUAAGCCUAAUCAAGGGGGCCAUGUCCAGCACAAAUCCAGGCUUUCUCACCCCCCCCCCUUUUUUUUUUUUGGCCCACCUUGAUUACCAUGCACAUUGUAGGGAGAGUGGUCACUUUGGAUGAGCUAU